rnacentral:misc_RNA from 1 species
UCCGGUUUAUCACCGGCAGUCCCUGCAGAGUCCUCAGCAUAACCUGUUAGCAACAGCAGGCAGGGGUUGCGCUCGUCGCGGGACUUAACCCAACAUCUCACGACACGAGCUGACGACAGCCAUGCAGCACCUGUGCUGGAGUCCCGAAGGAGGUCCCAUGUUUCCAUGAGAUUUCACCAGCAUGUCAAGCCCAGGUAAGGUUCUUCGCGUUGCUUCGAAUUAAGCCACAUGCUCCGCCGCUUGUGCGGGUCCCCGUCAAUUCCUUUGAGUUUUAGCCUUGCGGCCGUACUCCCCAGGCGGGGCGCUUAAUGCGUUAGCUACGGCGCGGAAAACGUGGAAUGUCCCCCACACCUAGUGCCCAACGUUUACGGCAUGGACUAC